UUCUUUAGCUAGUUCAUUAGUGUGAACCGGCUUGUUGAUUUGGUGGUCAGGCAAUUCAUCUUUGUGUGUUGUUGGUGGUUAGCGUUAGAUCGUGGGUAUAUUAAGAGCCAUUCCGCAUCUCUUGACGAUCCUUUCAAUCCAUCUCAGUUCCAGAAGUGUCGUUUGCCUUCUCGGAUCAUAUCCAACACCCAGAUAAAGUGAUCCUUCAGUUUAGGCGUAUCACGCGUGGUGGUGGUUCUACUGCUCUCUCUCCUCCGGUUCUUCAUUGUGUGUCUUCUUCAAAGCUUUUUUUUUUUGGAAUGGUGUGUGUUUGACUUCUUGGAAUCAAGGCUUGGUGUCUCGCCUUUGGUUCCGGGCUGUGCUUCGAGGGUGGUUCAUCGUCGGCGCGUUCACAAUGAGUCUUGGGGGUCAUGUGGUCGCGGUCUCUUUGGUGGUCGUGUAAACGCGGUCUCUCUGUGGUUCUGCGCGUUCAUCUUUUGAGGUUUUAAGCUUGUCUUGUCAUCUAUGGCUGUAAAGGUUUGGCCUCCAUUGAUGCUCUUUGCCUGCUGGUCCGCCCCAUCCUCUGGUCCAGGUUGUUGCUCGUUCUAUCUCGCGAAUGGCUACUGAGCGUUUUGAUGCUGCUAUUUGACUACUAUUUGCUUCCCCAGCGAGACGUAGUUAUGUAGCGCAAAGAGGACCGAGCUAGGUUCUCUAGUCUCGGGUCAUGGAAUUGGCCAGGGAUUCCGUUCGAGUCUUAUGGGGUCUCCGUUCAGUGGGGAUAUUUUUAGAGUGUAGCCAUCCCAGUGGUCCG
rnacentral:lncRNA from 1 species